rnacentral:lncRNA from 1 species
UUCGAAGUUUGUGAGCGCCCGACUCGCCAGCAAGAAAAACGCCACAACAGGAUCCUUCUGCACACGUUCACCGACAUACUCCAGAGGCCAGCGGACUCCACCUGCCUCUUUAUUAUCAGUAGAAGAGUGAGCACCUAGCAACACAAAAUUGAAUCUUUUUGCUGCUUUGGCACCAGGAUACCCAUGGCAACUUGCUUGUGUUUCUGUGGUGUGACCUUCUAUGGCUGUUUUAUGAACCUGCGUGUAUUCUCCAAGAAGUAGAGGAAGUGCCAUCUAAGUGCUCAGUAAAUACCAGAUGCAUAAGUGUGACUGCCUGCCUGGUGGACCGAUGCUGAGUACCAGAAGUAGGAAGUCUUGGGAAUUCUGUGUCGAACGGAGUAGGAAGUUUCAGGAAGUAUUUUCCUUUAUAAAAUAAGGUUGUGUUUUUAAAAGGGCAAUGUCCCACCCCCAAAAGCAGAGAAAACACAGAAGGAUGAAGAACUGUGAAAAGGUCAUGGACUUUGGAGUUGGGCAGAAGUCAUUCUUCCUGAAGCUUCAGAACUCAGCCAGAGUGUCACUGUCUCAAAGAAGCCUUCCCUGUCUCCAGCUAAGUGGGAUGCCCUGUGAAGUGCACCCUGAGCAUCGCAAGACUUCUCAUAAUUGUUGUCAAGGCUAAUAAUUGUGUACUAACUCACUCCUUCCAGAAUGUCACAUGAAGUUGUUCACUUCCAUCCCAUUCUUCACAACUGUUUUUUAUCUUUAAAGCUUUGGGUGGGAAAGUAAGAAUAAUGGAAACAGACAAGGACCUAAAUGAAUGUACCCUAACCUCCUAUGACCAUCUGAACAUUUCUCCUUUGGCUAUUCCUUGGAAUCCCAUAGUUCUCAGCUCUUCUGCUGCAAAAGAACCCUGUGGGAGAUUUGGAAAAGUGAAGAUAGCAACUUAAGAUAUCCUGGCUUCCUUUCAUCAGCCUUUUUAAUGUUUUCUGGGCGAUUUUUUUAAUGUAACCAGGGUAGAUAACCACUACUCUAGGCAAGGAUUUAUUUUGAAAAGACUUUUUUUUUGACUGUACAAUGUUCUUUGUGAAAGUUAUGUAUCAGUUGGGGUAGGUAAAACAGCUUAGCAUUUAGCUUCUGCAUUGACUAUGGUCUUUAGGAUGCACUAAGGUUCUAAGGAUGUACUAUGGUCCUGAGAUGCACUAUGGUCCUGAAGAUGCAAUAAGAUCCUGAGGAUGCACUAUGGUCCCGAGAGUCACUAUAGUCCUGAGGAUGCACUAUCGUCCCAAGGAGGAGGAGGGAAGAAGAGGGAAGAAGAAAACUGGGAAUGUUUUGGAUGUGUACCAUGAUCAUGAUGAGGUGGGACGCUGUGAAAGCAAACCCCAUCUUCUUCCACACUUGCUGAGGGCAGGGUUUGUCUAGAUGUGCUAGGACUUUUGUUAUUUUCAGGCAGUGAAUAAUAUAGGGUAUUCUUGGAUAUGCCUUCUCCCUGACAGGAUAUUGGAUGAAAUGGCUUUAGUGUGGGAACAGCUUCCAGGAUAUUGGCCCUGGAAGGCGCAUUGGUGGGGAGUGGUUUGAAUAUGCUACUCAAUGCCAGUUGGCAAAGAUUCUGGGGAAAAGUAAGCAAGCUUUAGUUUCAAAGAAUGAAUUAGUAGAGUCUUUAAAAGGAGGGAAAUGGUAAAAAAAAUAUAGAAUAAUAAUUUGGGUUUAAAAACUCUCUGAUGCUAAGUUUUAAAACAAGGCUUGGUAGUUUCUGACCUAAAGGCCAAGCAUGCCAACGACCCAUUUUUGUACAACUUGUAACUAAGAAUGCAUUUUAUAUUUUCAAAUGGCUGAAAAU